AAACUCGCCUACAUGAAGCUGGAGUUACUAGUAAUCGCAGAUCAGAAUGCUGCGGUGAAUGCGUUCCCGGGCCUUGUACACACCGCCCGUCACACCAUGAGAGUUGGGGAUACCCGAAGCCUGUGAGCCAACAAUAUAUUGAGGCAGCAGUCGAAGGUAGAAUCAAUGAUUGGGGUGAAGUCGUAACAAGGUACC
rnacentral:rRNA from 1 species